rnacentral:rRNA from 1 species
UACGUAAGGGGCAAGCGUUGUCCGGAAUCACUGGGCGUAAAGGGCGCGUAGGCGGUUCGGUAAGUCCUGUGUGAAAUCCCUCGGCUCAACUGAGGAACUGCACGGGAGACUGCCGAGCUUGAGUUCGGGAGAGGGAAGCGGAAUUCCGGGUGUAGCGGUGAAAUGCGUAGAUAUCCGGAGGAACACCGGUGGCGAAGGCGGCUUCCUGGACCGACACUGACGCUGAGGCGCGAAAGCUAGGGGAGCAAACGGG